UUUGGGAAGUCCUUGUGUUGCAUUCCC
rnacentral:rRNA from 6 species